UACGUAGGGUGCAGGCGUUAAUCGGAAUUACUGGGCGUAAAGCGUGCGCAGGCGGUCUGCUAAGAGAGGUGUGAAAUCCCCGGGCUUAACCUGGGAACUGCGCUUCUAACUGGCAGGCUAGAGUGUGGCAGAGGGGGGUGGAAUUCCACGUGUAGCAGUGAAAUGCGUAGAUAUUGGGAGGAACACCAGUGGCGAAGGCGGCUCACUGGACCGGUUCUGACGCUGAUGCGCGAAAGCGUGGGGAGCAAACGGG
rnacentral:rRNA from 1 species